GCAGAACCUGGUGAAGCCAUGCUGGUUGUCCUGUAUCACCUCCCUGUUUUCGAUGUGCCUCAGCAUAGCCUCCUGGAGGAUCUACUCCAUGAUCUUCCCUAGCACAAAGGUGAAGCUGACAGAAUGUUCUUUAAGGCACUGAACCUUUUCUUAUGCAAUUGGGAAGAGAUGAGUCUGUGGCCAUGACCAGCGUAAUUUAAAGAGGAGCUAAAAGGAGCAGAAAACCUUACCAAGAAGUGCAGUUUACUGAGAGAUUCGC
rnacentral:lncRNA from 1 species